rnacentral:rRNA from 1 species
GACGAACGCUGGCGGCGUGCCUAAUACAUGCAAGUCGUGCGGUCCUGCUUCGGCAGGAUAGCGGCGAACGGGUGAGUAACACGUGGGUAACCUGCCCUCAAGACCGGGAUAACUCCGGGAAACCGGAGCUAAUACCGGAUAACCUUCUUCUCCGCAUGGAGAAGAAGUAAAAGGCUUUACGCCACUUGAGGAUGGGCCCGCGGCGCAUUAGCUAGUUGGUGAGGUAACGGCUCACCAAGGCGACGAUGCGUAGCCGGCCUGAGAGGGUGACCGGCCACACUGGGACUGAGACACGGCCCAGACUCCUACGGGAGGCAGCAGUAGGGAAUUUUCCGCAAUGGGCGAAAGCCUGACGGAGCAACGCCGCGUGUGCGAAGACGGCCUUCGGGUUGUAAAGCUCUGUUCUUGGGGAAGAAGUCCUGACGGUACCCAAGGAGAAAGCCCCGGCUAACUACGUGCCAGCAGCCGCAGUAAAAC